UAUGGAUGGCGACCGGCGCACGGGUGAGUAACACGUAUCCAACCUGCCGACAACACUGGGAUAGCCUUUCGAAAGAAAGAUUAAUACCGGAUGGCAUAGUUUUCCCGCAUGGGAUAAUUAUUAAAGAAUUUCGGUUGUCGAUGGGGAUGCGUUCCAUUAGGCAGUUGGCGGGGUAACGGCCCACCAAACCAACGAUGGAUAGGGGUUCUGAGAGGAAGGUCCCCCACAUUGGAACUGAGACACGGUCCAA
rnacentral:rRNA from 1 species